GCUUAACACAUGCAAGUCGAGCGAGGCCCCUUCUUCGGGAGGGUGUUCUAGCGGCGAACGGGUGAGUAACACGUGGGCAACCUGCCCUCAGCUCUGGGAUAACUCCAAGAAACUGGGGCUAAUACCGGAUGGUUCCUACGGGAUAAAGAUUUAUCGCCAAAAGAUGAGUCCGCGUACGAUUAGCUAGUUGGUGAGGUAAUGGCUCACCAAGGCGACGAUCGUUAGCUGGUCUGAGAGGACGAUCAGCCACACUGGGACUGAGACACGGCCCAGACUCCUACGGGAGGCAGCAGUGGGGAAUAUUGGACAAUGGGGGCAACCCUGAUCCAGCCAUGCCGCGUGAGUGAUGAAGGCCUUCGGGUUGUAAAGCUCUUUUGGCGGGGACGAUGAUGACGGUACCCGCAGAAUAAGCCCCGGCUAACUUCGUGCCAGCCGCCGCGGUAAUAC
rnacentral:rRNA from 1 species